rnacentral:lncRNA from 10 species
GUUACAAAGUCAUUUAGUCGGUGUAUGCCCUAUGGAGAGGGUAUCUUAUGUUUCCUGCCUCCAGACCCUAUUUUCCUGCCUCAAUAGGAUUCACUCAUUCAACAAAUAUUCUCUGAGGGUAGCAUUUUACUUUUUUCAUGUAACACAUGCCUCACCAGGAGAAGGCAAAGUCUGAAGAAUGCUGGAUCCAGAUGAAAAGGCAGAGUGAUUUCAGAGAAACGAUAAUGAGCUGACAAGGCUGGAAUGUUACUUCCCCAGACAAGACCAGUGUCAUCAAGAAGGCCUUGGGGCUCUGCACAGGAGUCCCUGCUUUCCUUCUUCUGGCUGAAGCCACUCUUCAGCAUGAACUUGAUAGACUCUUGUUGUAGGUUUUAGGUUUUAGAAGAGAAUUGAAGUGUCAGCUCUUCUAAGGUGUGAAUAUAGUGAAGGACCUCAUUGGGAGUUCUUUCCAAAGCGUAUCUGUUUCCUCUUUUUUGUCUUCAUUUUUCGGGGGAAAAAAAAGGAAGAGAUAGAGAAGAAAAGGAGGAAAGAAAAGAAGCUGGAAUUAAUAUUGGUCCACAGAGUGAGA